GUUCCUUUCCAGUUAUUGAUCAUGAAUAAGAAGAGACACUCGAAAAGUGGCCUCUUGAUAGAAACGUAUUUGUCUAUGGGCAGAACAUCUCACAAACACCACUAGAAAACAUAUAGGAAAUGGGAUAAAUGAAAAGUGUUCUUGUUGAUAAAGACACGCAGAAAUUUUCAUCAAAUAAUCUGAAGACCAAUGGGGAAAAAAUGGGCAAAUAGCGAUGAAAUUAACUGAGGGUUUGCGGUCUAAAUUCCCAUUGACUAAUAACAAACAUUGCACUAAUUCCGUCUCUGACAAAUUCGAUUUGCAAUAACAAGACGCAAUUUAUCCAUCGGCAAAACACCAUCGUUCACAUUGGAUCUGGAUUAAAUUCGCGAUCAAUUUGUUCUGCUUAUUUCCUGACUAAUCUGCCUCAAUACAGCGUUAUGCAGAAUUAAUAGAUUUGUAGUGACCGGCGGCGGCGUCGGCGUCGGCGGCGCUCGGAAAUAAAGGGCCGAAUUCAAUCGAAUUUGCCCGUCCCGUUCGGGAAAUAAUAGGAAAGGCCUACAGGAAAUUAAAAUGAAGUUGUACUUUCGCCAACUUCCCAGACACUGCAGAUACAAGAAAAAAUGCGAUUUUUUCAAUAACAUUUCAAGAUUUGGAAACUGCAACUUCUAAAGCAUUAAGAUCUAAGUACUUGGAAGCUUUACUCACUUUCAAGUUAAAAUUGAAUCAAAAACGACUUUCA